GAUGAACGCUAGCGGCAGGCUUAACACAUGCAAGUCGAGGGGUAGAGGCUUUCGGGUCUUGAGACCGGCGCGCGGGUGCGUAACGCGUAUGCAAUCUGCCUUGUACUGGGGGAUAGCCCAGAGAAAUUUGGAUUAAUACCCCAUAGUAUUUUCGGUUGGCAUCAACUGAUCAUUAAAGUUUUUCGGUACAAGAUGAGCAUGCGUCCCAUUAGCUAGUUGGUAUGGUAACGGCAUACCAAGGCUACGAUGGGUAGGCGUCCUGAGAGGGAGAUCCCCCACACUGGUACUGAGACACGGACCAGACUCCGACGAGAGGCAGCAGUGAUGAAUAUUGGUCAAUGGUCGCAAGACUGAACCAGCCAUGCCGCGUGCAGGAUGAAGCAUCUAUGGUGUGUAAACUGCUUUUGUACGGGAAGAAACACUGCUACGUGUAGCAGCUUGACGGUACCGUAAGAAUAAGGAUCGGCUAACUCCGUGCCAGCCGCCGCGGUAAUAC
rnacentral:rRNA from 1 species